rnacentral:lncRNA from 1 species
GGAAUGUAAAACAUAUUUCUGCUCUUUUUCAAGAGCUUUACUCUUUCCUUAAUUAUCAUUUCUUGUAAGCUGAUUCUUUUUUCGGAUCUUCCAUUUGCAGGUGUCUCUGUGAGAUUGCAAAGCAGAUUGGUUUUGUUGAGGAUAAAGUUUUAGCCCAGUUCAAAAUUAAGUCUCAAGUUUUUAUCUACAAGCAUGUGCGGGAACGGUUUUUAUUCCGCACUUAUAAGUCUACGAAAGUGAAAUCAAAGCUGAGCGGUGAGAUGCGAGUAGUACCAUUUCCUCAUCUUGUAAGCACCGUCUAUGAAAAAUUUGGAACGGACGAAGUUCACAUGUUGACUCAAGGUACUUUUGAUGUUGUUAUGGAUGCCUGCAUUGAAUAUUUCGAUGGCAAGACUGUCCAUCCGCUCACCAAAGUUGAACGAAAAUCAUUGGAAUCUUUUACAAACAUGCCGUUGCAACUGGGUAUUGCACUGUGUUUCUUUCCGUGCUUUAUCGGCGCCGAUCCCAAAAGAAUUCACUCAAGUUUAUCUGGAGAUUCCAUGCAUCGCCCAGAACCUCUAUGAACAGCCAUAUCACUACGUGUCCUCCUUCAACAACUGCAGCCUCAUUGAACAGUAUUGUUCCUCCGAUAACAUAAAUGAAGGAACAAAAAGACUGAAAGCAGUUCAUCCAAGUGACGCAAAAAGAUGUUUUCAGCAAAACUGUAAUCAGAUUUUUCUUGGGAUGGUGUCAAUGCAGUAUCAAGCUUGAUUGAUGUUGUAAGUAAUGAUUGAAGUCAUGAAUAAUCUUUACCAAACUUCAAAUGUCAACCUGCCUUUCAAAUAUGAAAGCUACAUACUUUUAAGC